rnacentral:sRNA from 1 species
AUAGACAUAGACAUAGACAUAGACAUAGAUAUAUACCCAUUGUUUGGCAAAAUUUGGCUUGGUUGCUUUGGGUGAUAUCUUUUCUGUGAUCUGAGUGUUUCUGGGAUGCAUCCAUCCAGUGCAUCCCAUGGAGGAAGGCCUAGAAGCAGAGUGCCUCUCAGUUUUAAACCCUUCUCCUUCCCGUUCUAGAUCAAAGGAAUGUCCCCUGACUACUGUUUCCAAAAGGCACCCUGAAGCGUCCUUAUAUGCUAUGUUGUCAUAGCACAGUUUUCCUACUAUGAUUGUCUACUAUGAUUCUCUGGUUGUCUAUUUAUCCUAGACUUCUAUUCUUUGAGGUUCAAAAAAAAAUCCUUUUGUUGGUUUUCACUCUUAACCCUCUCUAAACAGAGAAUCCAGCAGUGGUUUCUUGUUCUCCCUAGCUCUCAAGUCCUCUGACCCUCUCUGCUAAAUGAAUAUAUGAAAGCUAGAGGGAAUGGGGCAGUAUACACGUCAGAAAUCAAUGGCAGUAUGAAUUGCCAAAAGGUAAAAGACAGGUAGAAGAUAUGGUAAAAGAGUACAUGAAACCAAUACAGCUCCCGGCUUCUGCAUACUUCAUGGCUCCAGAAAGACUCAAGUCUACCUAAUCAUGUGCCAGUUUUAACUAACAUUUUCUUAAUUCUGACAGUAACUUUCAAAUUUACAAAACUACAACCAAAACUCCAGUAGGGCUAUGCCCUGAUGACCACUCUGAGGGAUGUGAUGCUCCCAGAAAUAAACACAACCCCAUUUUGCAUUUGAAAACUUGGCAUUUGUGAUAAUUUUAUGGUGACAGCCAAAACUGCCUUCAGAGAGAAGGGGAUGAGAGAAGAUGGGAGUGGAGGAGUGUGAAGCCACAGGCAUCUUCUCUUUGGCUCAGCAGAGUCAAGCAGAGCGAUGUGUGUGCUGUGAUGAUUAAUGCCCUGGGACUCAACGACAGCUUGCUUGCAUGGGCCAACUUCUCUUCCUGAGUGGGGGACCCAACGGUUUCAGAAGACUGAGUGGAAAGAAAUUGUUCUUUCUGUAAAAAUAAAUCAGUGAUGACUCAGUGGAAAAUAGAAUUUAAACACUUUGUUCCUGUACAAGUUUAUCGGGUGUAAAUAACUGUCUAUGUUUUCAUUUUCAAAUAUGUGUCCAUGUCUUCUAAAAAGAAAAUGAAAGAAAACACCAUGUGACCUAUUUAAGCACUCGCUCACUGUUGGCCUUUGUGCUUUCAGUGGUGGCAAGCAGGUUCUUAUAAAGGAACAGGAUUGUGCCCCAGAGUGAUGUGAAAAGGUGUGGAGCAAAGCCUACAGACAAGAAGAGGUGAACGCAUCUAUGCUCCUGGGGAAAGAAAUGUUUGAACGAAAGAGGUAGGCCCCUGCAGUCCUGUAAGCUGUUUUAGAAAAUCCAACCAAAAGUAAAGCUGUAAACUUCCGAACAUCUAGACUAUGGAAAGUAAGGCAACAGCAAAUGGGCAAAUUCCAUUUGCUUUUGUGCUUACCCCAGCCCAUAAUUUAUAAUUAGCAUAAAUGAGAUACUUUGUCAAUAGCAAAAACAAAAAGGAAAUGCUAGACUAAAUCCCAAAACUCGUUCCUAUGAAAACAUCUAAUCUAAAGUAUUCCAGAGACAAAGUUGAAUGUUUAUAUAAUCAAUUAAAACCAUGUUUGUCUGAGAACUAAAUUGUUUUAGAAUCACUAUAUCUUUUCUCAACAUACUCCCAACACAGAGAGCGCUGGUCACUCCUUCAGUCAUGCUGUGUGCUGGUCAUUCCUGCAGUGAUGCUGAACGCAGCCUUGUGCUGGUCAUUUCUACUGUCAUACUGUGUGCUGGUCCUUCCUGUAGUGAUACUGAGUGCAGCCUUGUGCUGGUCAUUUCUACAGUCAUACUGUGUGCUGGCCCUUCCUGUAGUGAUACUGAGUGCAGCCUUGUGAUGGUCAUUUCUACAGUCAUACUGUGUGCUGGUCAUUUCUACAGUGAUGCUGUGUGCAGCCCUGUGUUGGAAAUUUCUGCAGUCAUACUGUGUGUUGGUCAUACCUGCAGUCAUUCUGUGUGCUUCCCUGCUUUAAGCAGCUAGUCAACGUUCUGAGGAACUUAGUUGCUCUAAUACCUGCAUAGCUCUGACUUGGCUUCAGAUAUGUGAUUGUUUGCUGUGCGUCUCACCAUGCCUGCCAAUCUGACCUUUCUUCUCUAUCUAACUCACUACCCCAUUUCUCCUCCCCUGCCCUUAUCGUAAAUAAGCCCUACCUUCUGUGGUUGCCUCUGUUUGCUACAAACAAUUUGCAAACUACACGAGACCCCGCCCUCACUCUGUCUAACUCACCAGCUUCAAUUUCAGGUUGCUUCUGGUUCUCCUAACCUACUUUAAAAGCCAACUCAAGUUAUGAACCCAGAAGAUAUUUUCUAAGAAAAUGGAAUUCCAGGGACUGCCUUUUUUUUUUUUCUGAGUAACAGUCAUUGAAGAAUUACAUCACUCAGAACGGUUAAAUGUGAUGUACAGUUCUUUGUAACAUGGGAGGUACAGUGUGCUUUCUGUCUAGGAUCAGGUUUCCAGGAAGGGAUGGGCUCUCUGCACCUUCUGAGCUCCUGCCCAGUCACCUCAGAAUGAAACACAGGCAAAACUGGGUGUAGUGGUGGUCAUACAUAUUUAAUCCCAGCACUCAAGGGGCAGAGGCAGAUGGAUCUCUGUGAGUGCAAAGUCUGCGUGGUCUACACACUGAGACAGCAUCACCAACAAAUGAAAAAGUAAAUAAAAUAUCGGCAAACAGAAGAGGAUCAAAUAAUACCUAUGAUUUUAUAGUCAACCUCUGUCCAAGGAGUGGAGUCCUAUAACAUCAUUCUGUCCCACACAAAUGAUGAAGUCUGAUAUGUCUGGCUAACUAUAGUAGUAUUAUUUAUAUCAAAUAAGUUUUAGUAUAUUUUUAAGACAGACAGACUUACAAAAAGAUGAUGAGUGGAAAGUUCAGAGAGCUCUCGUGUGUUCAAUCACCAUUGGCAGACGGCCUCUGCCAUUACCAGCAUCCUGCAUCACAAUGAUGUAGAGGUUACACCUGACACACUCUCAUCACUCCCAUUCCAGAGUUCACACUACCACUCACUCCUGCUGUUCCACAUUCUACGGAUUUGACAAAAAUAUAAUUGUGAACAAUCAGCAUUGUAGCAUUGUACAAAAUGAUUUCACUACUCUAAAAGUCCUAAGUUCUAUCUCAUUGAUUUCUGUCUCCUGCCUAACCCCUGAUCUUUACUGUGCCUGAGUAUUGUCUCUACCACAAUGUCAUAUUGCUCUGUGUGUAUGUGUGUGUGUGUGUGUGUGUGUGUAAAACCUUUUGAUAUUGUCUCAUUUUAUCUAGGAAUAUGCUGUUAAGUCUCCUCUGUAUUUUCUCACCCCAAUAAAAAUUGCUGUUUUUUUCAUCUCUAAAUAACAUGUCCCUGAAUGUGUCUAUCAUGUGUCUAUCCAUUCACUUGUUCAAGGAUAGUCUAGUCUCUUCUGUGUUUUCCAAUUCUGAAAGAACUCCUCAAACAUGUACACACAUGUGUCACUGUGUGGAAGGCAUGAUUUUCAACUGAUUUGGAAAACACCAAGCAACAGGUUGCCAGAUUUUAUGCUGAGACUAUACCCAGUUUUGUAAGAAGCUGCCAGACUCCUCCAAUGUGGCUGUGUUAUUCUGAGUUGUCACCAGUAAUCUAUGAAGGUUUCUGUUGUUCUAACUCACUGCCUAAGGAUGUUUUGGAUCAGUGUUUGGGGAUUAUACAACUGGGGGGGGGAGGCAUAGUGUUUAAAGACAAUUGUGGGAUGUUGAGUGUUUCCCAUUAAUCUCUUGUUGGGGGAUGUGUUUUUCAUCCUCUGGGAUACCAAAUUAUAAUCUUAUAAUUGAGUUCUAUGAGUUCUCAGAGUAGAUUUCAACUUGUAAACUGACUUUUUCCUCCUUUUUUAUUUUAGGAACAGGUUCUCACUAUGUAGCCCAGGCAUGGUUCAACAUUUAAAUUCUCCUGGUUCUGGGUCCACAUGUUAGGAGUACAGACAGGCACACCCAUAUUUAUCUGCAUUGUCCUUCUCUUGACAGUGUCUUAUAAAGAUCAGAAAGGUUCAAUUUUAUAUCAGUCAAUACCCCCUACCCAACCCAGUUCAUAAAUUCACUUGGGCACACAGACUCCUGAUAUCAAGAUUAAAAUAAUGGACAAAUGGGAGCACCUGAAGCAAGGCACCUUCUACAAAGCUUACCGAAGGACAGACCAAUGACUCUUCUGCUCUCAACUACCACUCCAAACUGUGCUAGUCAAGUCUAAAAGAAGACUGAGAAAGAAAGAACAAGGCAGCCACAGUGCAGACAGGAAGGAAGUGCUGCUCAAGGUUUCCAUCUGCUCCUAAGGGCAAACCUCUUACCACUGAGCCAAUAUGAAAAACAUUCUUAAACCUGUAAGAGAAAAAGCCAGUACUGGCUUCCACAUAUGUACCUAAAAUAGCCUGAACAAUCCUCCUUCACAUCUCUGAGGGAAGAAAAAGACUUGAAAAGGAGAGCCCUGAGCUAACCACAUAUUUGUAUUCCAGAUGGUGUACACGCCGCUGCCUUCCACCCAGAAGCUUGUGUUUGACUCACAGUUUUUGAGUGGAUACCUUUAAAUGGGCUGAGAUUCAAACUUUCAUAAUAGUGAAUUGUGUGUGUUUCUGUUUCUUACAGAAAUACAACACUUCAAGUAUCUGCCCAAGGUAAAGAUAAACUUGGCAAAAUUUAAAUAAUUGGAAAAGAAGAAAUUACCUCCAAUACCUGUACUCCUAGCAAGUUGACUAUUUAAUACACUUCUUAAUAAAAGUAGCAACAACAUGAUAUAUCCAUCCCUUCAACUGAAGAAUCACAAGUGAAAAUGGAAUCAGUCCCUUAGCUAUUAACAUCAUAUUUAAAUGACAAGGUGAAG